AGGAUGAACGCUGGCGGUCUGCUUAACACAUGCAAGUCGAACGGGCGUAGCAAUACGUUAGUGGCGGACGGGUGAGUAACGCGUGAGAAUCUACCUUCAGGACGGAGACAACAGUUGGAAACGACUGCUAACCCCCGAUGUACCGAAAGGGCAAAUAUUUAUAGCCUGAAGAAGAGCUCGCGUCCGAUUAGCUAGUUGGAGAGGUAAAAGCUCACCAAGGCGACGAUCGGUAGCUGGUCUGAGAGGACGAUCAGCCACACUGGGACUGAGACACGGCCCAGACUCCUACGGGAGGCAGCAGUGGGAAUUUCCGCAAUGGGCGAAAGCCUGACGGAGCAAGACCGCGUGGGGGAAGAAGGGCUCUUGGGUUGUAAACCCCUUUUCUCUGGGAAGAACGCAAUGACGGUACCAGAGGAAUCAGCAUCGGCUAACUCCGUGCCAGCAGCCGC
rnacentral:rRNA from 1 species